AGCUCUAGAUGCUGGAAAGUCCAAGAUCAAUGUCCAGCAGGAUUCAGUUUCUGGAGAGCUGAAGUUGCAGGGCAAGCAAAUGAUCUGAGUUCCAAAGAGUGACAAGCUCUCUGAGGAGAAACAGUACACACAAAUUUUCACCUUUGGCAAGACAUGAGAGGAUGAGAUGGUCACCGUAGAAGUGGGUAGAAUCCAAAGAUAGUCUGAGAGCAAUCAAAGGUUGUGGUGAGGAACAUGGAUGUUGAAAUGGUGGAAACAUGGGUAUGACAGCCGAUUCUGCCCCUCACUAGCUCUGUAAUUUGCGUCCAGACUUUUUCCCAGACUCCCUCCCAG